AUUGAACGCUGGCGGCAUGCUUUACACAUGCAAGUCGAACGGUAACAGGGUGCUUGCACCGCUGACGAGUGGCGAACGGGUGAGUAAUGCGUCGGAACGUGCCGAGUAGUGGGGGAUAACGCAGCGAAAGUUGUGCUAAUACCGCAUACGUACUGAGGUAGAAAGUGGGGGACCUUCGGGCCUCACGCUAUUCGAGCGGCCGACGUCUGAUUAGCUAGUAGGUGAGGGAAAGGCUCACCUAGGCGACGAUCAGUAGCGGGUCGGAGAGGAUGAUCCGCCACACUGGGACUGAGACACGGCCCAGACUCCUACGGGAGGCAGCAGUGGGGAAUUUUGGACAAUGGGCGAAAGCCUGAUCCAGCCAUGCCGCGUGUCUGAAGAAGGCCUUCGGGUUGUAAAGGACUUUUGUCAGGGAGGAAAUCCCUAGCGUUAAUACCGCUGGGGGAUGACAGUACCUGAAGAAUAAGCACCGGCUAACUACGUGCCAGCCGCCGCGGUAAGAC
rnacentral:rRNA from 1 species